rnacentral:rRNA from 1 species
UACGAAGGGGGCUAGCGUUGUUCGGAAUUACUGGGCGUAAAGCGCGCGUAGGCGGUGAUCUUUGUCAGAGGUGAAAGCCUGGGGCUCAACUCCAGAAUUGCCUUUGAAACGGGAUCGCUUGAGUCCGAGAGAGGAUGGCGGAAUUCCUAGUGUAGAGGUGAAAUUCGUAGAUAUUAGGAAGAACACCGGUGGCGAAGGCGGCCAUCUGGCUCGGUACUGACGCUCAGGCGCGAAAGCGUGGGGAGCAAACAGGG